rnacentral:lncRNA from 1 species
UGAAUGUCACAAAAGAAUUAAUAUAUAACGUUUUUCGUGAACAUAAAAUAGAAUAACUUGUAAUUUUUUUCUUAUUACGAAGCUGGAUGCCAGAUAAUUCAAAGACUACGGUAAUCGUUUCGAUAUAAUUAAUCACCCUUUUGGAUAAGAUAUAGAUUAUAAACGGUAAUUAUAAACUGAUUAUUCUAUUUAAUUAUUUAUAUAGAUCAUGUUCAUGGUCAACCUCUCCGUUAUA